rnacentral:rRNA from 1 species
UACGAAGGGUGCAAGCGUUAAUCGGAAUUACUGGGCGUAAAGCGUGCGUAGGCGGUCUUUUAAGUCCGUUGUGAAAGCCCUGGGCUCAACCUGGGAAUGGCAGUGGAUACUGGAAGGCUGGAGUACGGUAGAGGAGGGUGGAAUUCCCGGUGGAGCGGUGAAAUGCGUAGAUAUCGCUUGGAACGCCAACGGUGAAAGCAGGUUGCUGGGGGUGUGCUGACGCUGAGACACGAAAGCCAGGGGAGCGAACGGG